UUGACUGAUGAGAGAAGAAGCCAUUUUUGCUUGUUUGUUUCUUCUUGCUUCUGGAGGAGCUCCUGGAAGCUUCUGGGUUCCUACUCAGGCAGGACAGUUCCAGCAGCUGCAGCGGCAUGGAGCUCGGACCCUGGCAGAGAGAAAUGCAGUGAUGGCCUUGUUCUGUUCCCUGCUGUAUUCUCAUCCAUCUCUGCUGCAGCCCGAAAAAUAAGGCCUGGCAUAAUGAAUGCUUAUUGGGUGCAAAGAAUAUGAAGACAAAUAAUGGAAUUCCCGUGUAAUGGAACCAGUGCUUCUGCUAUGCUGGGAAGAGGCCUGUGCUUGACCUAAACAUCAGCUGCAUCACAGAGCUAUUUUACCACUAAUAAAACUGAGGCAUUUAGAGAAU